rnacentral:lncRNA from 1 species
UGAGAUGUUACGUUGCGCAUCUCGAGUGUUUUUUGUUUACCCAUGAGCCCACGUAUGACGUUGCUGUGCGGUUGAGGCCUCGUGUGUGAAUCCACUUCGCAGGGAAUAUUUGUGUUGUCGACCUUUCACAGAAGUGGCAGUUAUUGGGCACAAGUCUUUACACUCAUGAAGCCAGUGUUAUGUCCAAUGGGCUGUGGAUUGGAUUUGUGCCGUAACUGAGAUUAUACGUGACGGUAACUACUGGGAAUCAUGGAUUGUGAUAGUGUGGCCAUUGAAGUUGAAACUUUGCUCCAAUAAAAGACUGUUGCAGCU